rnacentral:rRNA from 1 species
UUUUUGAAUUGAUAAUUUAAAGUCUAAUCUGCCCACUGAUAAUAAAUUAAAGGGCUGCAGUAUAUUGACUGUACAAAGGUAGCAUAAUCAAUAGUCUCUUAAUUGGUGACUUGUAUGAAAGAUUUAAUGAAAUAUAAACUGUCUCUUUAUAAUUUUUAGAAUUUAAUUUUUUAGUUAAAAAGCUAAAAUAUAUUUAAAAGACGAGAAGACCCUAUAGAGUUUAAUAUUUAAUGUGUAUUAUUAAAUAUUUUUUAUAAAAUUUAAAAUUUUAAUAUUAAUAAAUAUUUUGUUGGGGUGACAGAAAAAUUAAAAUAACUUUUUUUAUAAUUUUACAUUAAUAAAUGGUUAAAUGAUCCGUAAUUUAUGAUUAUAAGAAAAAAUUACCUUAGGGAUAACAGCGUAAUUUUUUUUUUUAGUUCAAAUAAGAAAAAAAGUUUGCGACCUCGAUGUUGGAUUAAGAUAAAAUUUAAAUGCAAAAGUUUAAAAUUUUU